UAGUCCACGCCGUAAACGAUGUCAACUAGCCGUUGGUCGGGUUACCGAUUAGUGGCGCAGCUAACGCAAUAAGUUGACCGCCUGGGGAGUACGGUCGCAAGAUUAAAACUCAAAGGAAUUGACGGGGGCCCGCACAAGCGGUGGAGCAUGUGGUUUAAUUCGAUGCAACGCGAAGAACCUUACCUACCCUUGACAUUGACAGAACCUUGUAGAGAUACGAGGGUGCCUUCGGGCCUGGAAAACAGGUGCUGCAUGGCUGUCGUCAACUCGUGUCGUGAGAUGUCGGGUUAAGUCCCUUAACGAGCGAAACCCUUGUCUUCAGUUGCCAGCACGUAAUGGUGGGGACCCUGAAGAGACUGCCGGUGUUAAACCGGGGGAAGGUGGGGAUGACGUCAAGUCCUCAUGCCCUUACGGCCUGGGCUACACACGUGCUACAAUGGAUGGUACAGAGGGCUGCAAACCCGCGAGGGUAAGCCAAUCCCAGAAAACCAUUCGUAGUCCGGAUCGGAGUCUGCAACUCGACUCCGUGAAGUCGG
rnacentral:rRNA from 1 species